rnacentral:rRNA from 1 species
GGACUGGGAUAACCCUGGGAAACUGGGGAUAAUACUAGAUAGGCAAUUUUUCCUGGAAUGGUUUUUUGUUUAAAUGUUUUUUCGCCUAAGGAUGGGUCUGCGGCCGAUUAGGUAGUUGGUUAGGUAACGGCUUACCAAGCCAUUGAUCGGUACGGGUUGUGAGAGCAAGAGCCCGGAGAUGGAACCUGAGACAAGGUUCCAGGCCCUACGGGGUGCAGCAGGCGCGAAACCUCCGCAAUGUGAGAAAUCGCGACGGGGGGAUCCCAAGUGCCAUUCUUAACGGGAUGGCUUUUCAUUAGUGUAAAGAGCUUUUGGAAUAAGGGCUGGGCAAGACCGGUGCCAGCCGCCGCGGUAACACCGGCAGCUCUAGUGGUAGCAGUUUUUAUUGGGCCUAAAGCGUCCGUAGCCGGUUUAAUAAGUCUCUGGUGAAAUCCUGUAGCUUAACUGUGGGAAUUGCUGGAGAUACUAUUAGACUUGAGACCGGGAGAGGUUAGAGGUACUCCCAGGGUAGAGGUGAAAUUCUGUAAUCCUGGGAGGACCGCCUGUUGCGAAGGCGUCUAACUGGAACGGUUCUGACGGUGAGGGACGAAAGUUAGGGGCGCGAACCGGAUUAGAUACCCGGGUAGUCCUAACUGUAAACGAUGCGGACUUGGUGUUGGGGUGGCUUUGAGCUGCUCCAGUGCCGAAGGGAAGCUGUUAAGUCCGCCGCCUGGGAAGUACGGUCGCAAGACUGAAACUUAA